GAUGAACGCUGGCGGCGUGCCUAAUACAUGCAAGUCGAGCGAACAGAUGAGGAGCUUGCUCCUCUGACGUUAGCGGCGGACGGGUGAGUAACACGUGGAUAACCUACCUAUAAGACUGGGAUAACUUCGGGAAACCGGAGCUAAUACCGGAUAAUAUAUUGAACCGCAUGGUUCAAUAGUGAAAGACGGUUUUGCUGUCACUUAUAGAUGGCUCCGCGCCGCAUUAGCUAGUUGUUAAGGUAACGGCUUACCAAGGCAACGAUGGGUAACCGACCUGAGAGGGAAACCGGCCACACUGGAACUGAGACACGGUGCAGACUCCUACGGGAGGCAGCAUUGGGGAAUCUUCCGCAAUAAGCGAAAGCCUGACGAAGCAACACGGAGUGAGUGAUGAUGGUCUUCGGAUCGGAAAACCCAGUUAGUAGGGAAGAACAAAUGUGUAAAUGACUAUGCACGUCUUGACGGUACCUAGUCAGAAUACCGCGGCUAACUACGUG
rnacentral:rRNA from 1 species